ensembl:lncRNA
CUGUGAUAUGCUGCUUAGAGCUCGCUCUCCACCAACCAAAACACAUUUUGUUUCCAAUCAAUAUUUUAUUUACUGCAUGCGUUCAUAUUAUGACAACAUGCUCUUCAAAACAAAACAAAAAGACAAAAACAGCAAAGAUUUAAAAAUAAAUGGCAUGAUCAUGUAUUAAAAACAAAGUAAGAGGUUCGACUAAAAAGCACACAGAUUUAUAGGGAGAACUUUGAAAGCAGAAACAGGAAUAGUGUCGAGGUGAAUGAGGGAGGGGGUGAAUAUGCUUUACAAAGUGAUUCAAUGUUAAAGUAUUUUAGUGUUCUGAAGGGCUUUAAGCCAAUUAGAGUAAGAAGAUAAACCUAUUUCAAAAUGAUUUGAUUUGUUUCAUUGUAAAGUUUUAAUUAGAAAGUCCUGUGUGUGUGUGUAUUGAGGUGUGUGUGUGUGUGUCUGUGUAUUGAGGUGUGUGUGUGUGUGUGUGUGUAUUGAGGUGUGUGUGUGUGUGUCUGUGUAUUGAGGUGUGUGUGUGUGUGUAUUGAGGUGUGUGUGUGUGUGUCUGUGUAUUGAGGUGUGUGUGUGUGUAUUGAGGUGUGUGUGUGCGUGUGUGUGUGUAUUGAGGUGUGUGUGUGUGUAUUGAGGUGUGUGUGUGCGUGUGCGUGUAUUGAGGUGUGUGUGUGUGUAUUGAGGUGUGUGUGUGCGUGCACACGCCCAUGUGUUUUCUUUCUCAGCGACACAGGUAAAAGGAGAAUAGUGAUUUUGAUUGGCAUAUCAUUUCAUAAAACAACAUUUACAUAUUAAUGAUACAACAUACAUGAUACAGUAAUAAGGAGUAAAAAUUAUAGUGAUAAAACAAGAAAUAACAUAAAAAAAGGAGCAUUAUUUGUUACAAAAUGAAGCUACAUAGUAACACGUAAUCAGCUUCUAUACCAGUUGGAACCAGUUGGAACCAGUUGAAACCAGUUGGAACCAGUUGAAACCAGUUGGAACCAGUUGGAAACACCAUCAGAGCAUUAAGCAGUCCGUAUAUACAGUGCUAAACUACACCUACUAUGCUGGUGUCACUAUAAAGGCUGGCUGGUGCAUUAUAAAUAAGCUAAAACAGUACACUGUACUCAUGUAUGGCAAAAUCAUAUUGGUAAUACAGUAUAAUACUAUAUGUUUAUAUUGUGUCAUCUUCAAUUAAGUAUAUUCAUUUGAUUAUUUGUUUUUGAAUUUAGAUUUCUUAUGACAUGACAGGUCAGGUAAGAUUUAACACAUACUGGUCAGAGGGAUAUUGUGUCAAUACAUCUGUUUCAACCAACCAGGGGCCUGUAUUUGUGAUCAAAGAUAUUUUUUUUGGACAUCGACAAUGGGAACUUGAUCCUAGAUCAGCACUCCUACCCUGAGAACUGAUCCUAGACCAGCACUCCUAUCCUGAGACCUGAUCCUAGCUCAGCACUCCAACUCUAAGGCGAUUUCUGAAAACGGGCCCAGGUCUCUGUAUUGGAGAGAGAUGGUGCAUUCUGAACUUGAGAUGGGAAUAGGUAUUUUGUUAACUUGAGAUAUUCAGAUACCAGAUAAUAUCCAAAGGGGUCCUUCAUCACGUAGUAAUACAUGUAUAUACUAAAUUCUGUAUUACAUGACAUAUGAGGAACACAAUCAAUGUUGUUUCAAAGAGGACAGUGGUCAGUGAGUAAGGAAAAGAUAUCACUACAAAAAGUAUAGGCUAAUAACAGAGUACAUGUGAAGAGGUGUGUUUUCCAGAGGAGAUACUUAUAAACAUGGCUGAAGGGAAAGGGUGUUGUUUCCCGUCAGGGAGGGGAAGACGAAAAGCGUUACACAUAUUCAGAGCAAUGAAUGGAAAGGCUAGAAUAAUACAAUACUCCAGUGUAUAAAUCCAUCACUCUUUCAGUAGGCUGCCAGCGUGGCUUCUGGCCAAACCGUUUUCUCCUUCAGUUACACAAGGCCAUGUCACAAAAUGGCCACCUUUUGUUAGUUUAAAUAAAUAGGAUUUUAAACACUCUGUGGCUCAAACAUGAACAGCAUUCAAUCAAUCAGCAUUCAAUCAAGUCCAUGAGCUGCUUCUGUCUUGAGAUAAGCCAACCUUCUUGUAGAGAAAGAUAAGGCACCAGCGGUUUAAAAAACACCAUUCAGAUGUUGAUAUUUGUGUGGGUUAUCAACAUCAUCAUCGAGAGCAGAAAGAAAUCGCCAAUCUUCUACAAUUCAAGCAUAUAAAUUUAACAUACAUGUAGCUAAGAAAGUACUUUGUCUAAAACACAAAUGUAGUAUUUGCUAGUGGUCCAGUGAGUGAGUUACCGUGUACUAAGUUUCCAGUGGGCAAGUUACAGUGUACUAAGUAUUUUCAUUGUUCUUCAAACAUAUAGUCAGUGUUGGACCUGAACAAUGGAUGCAGUUAUCAGCUGCUGAGAUCAUACAGUGUUCCAGAUCAUACAGUGUUCCAGAUCAUACAGUGUUCCAGAUCAUACAGUGUUCCAGAUCAUACAGUGUAUAUACAGUGUUCCAGAUCAUACAGUGUUCCAGAUCAUACAGUGUAUAUACAGUGUUCCAGAUCAUACAGUGUUCCAGAUCAUACAGUGUUCCAGAUCAUACAGUGUUCCAGAUCAUACAGUGUAUAUACAGUGUUCCAGAUCAUACAGUGUUCCAGAUCAUACAGUGUAUAUACAGUGUUCCAGAUCAUACAGUGUUCCAGAUCAUACAGUGUUCCAGAUCAUACAGUGUAUAUACAGUGUUCCAGGUCAUACAGUGUUCCAGAUCAUACAGUGUUCCAGAUCAUACAGUGUUCCACAUCAUACAGUGUAUAUACAGUGUUCCAGAUCAUACAGUGUUCCAGAUCAUACAGUGUAUAUACAGUGUUCCAGGUCAUACAGUGUAUAUACAGUGUUCCAGAUCAUACAGUGUUCCAGAUCAUACAGUGUAUAUACAGUGUUCCAGAUCAUACAGUGUUCCAGAUCAUACAGUGUAUAUACAGUGUUCCAGAUCAUACAGUGUUCCAGAUCAUACAGUGUUCCAGAUCAUACAGUGUAUAUACAGUGUUCCAGAUCAUACAGUGUUCCAGAUCAUACAGUGCAUACACAGUGUUCCAGAUCGUACAGUGUAUAUACAGUGUUCCAUCCAGUCAUAUAAUUAGAAUUAUUCUAACUCUAUGGUUCCAGUACAGUGUUCCAGAUUAUACAGUGUAGCUGUGCUGCUGAGAUCAUACAUUGCAGAGCCAUACUGUGUAUUUAGAAAGAUAUGGUUCUUAUACAGUGUACAGUGUUUAUCCUCAGCAUUGUGCAAUGUUCCCAGUUAUCUGAGUUGAUAUCCAGUCUUAUCAUGGCGAGUCAUUCCUUGUAGAUAUAAAAUGUAUUUACUCCUGUGAAUCAAUGCAUUUAAAAUUCAAAUGUGUUUCUUUAUAUAACAUUGGCCUUCGUGGAUCAGCUAGCUACCUAUAUAGAUCCAUCAUCACCAAAAACAAGCUGAUGUAGCUGAAAUCACAUUACAGCGACCAGUAGCUUAUCUGUUACGCCACAUUUAUGCACUACGUACGCAGUGCAAGUAGUGCACUAUAUAGGGAAUAGGGUUCUAUAGGGCUCUGGUCUAAAGUAGUGCACUAUAUAGGGAAUAGGGUUCUAUAGGGCUCUGGUCUAAAGUAGUGCACUAUAUAGGGAAUAUGGUUCUAUAGGGCUCUGAUCUAAAUUAGUGCACUAUAUAUAGGGAAUACGGUUCUAUAGGGCUCUGGUCAACAUUAGUGUACUAUAUAUAGGGAAUAGGGUUCUAUAGGGCUCUGGUCUAAAGUAGUGUACUAUAUAGGGAAUAUGGUUCUAUAGGGCUCUGAUCUAAAGUAGUGCACUAUAUAGGGAAUAGGGUUCUAUAGGGCUCUGAUCUAAAUUAGUGCACUAUAUAUAGGGAAUACGGUUCUAUAGGGCUCUGGUCAACAUUAGUGUACUAUAUAUAGGGAAUAGGGUUCUAUAGGGCUCUGGUCUAAAGUAGUGUACUAUAUAGGGAAUAUGGUUCUAUAGGGCUCUGAUCUAAAGUAGUGCACUAUAUAGGGAAUAGGGUUCUAUAGGGCUCUGGUCUAAAGUAGUGUACUAUAUAGGGAAUAGGGUUCUAUAGGGCUCUGGUCUAAAGUAGUGCACUAUAUAGGGAAUAGGGUUCUAUGGGGCUCUGGUCUAAAGUAGUGAAUUAUAUAGGGAAUAGGGUUCUAUAGGGCUCUGGUCAACAUUAGUGUACUAUAGAUAGGGAAUAGGGUUCUAUAGGGCUCUGGUCUAAAGUAGUGUACUAUAUAGGGAAUAUGGUUCUAUAGGGCUCUGAUCUAAAGUAGUGCACUAUAUAUAGGGAAUAGGGUUCCAUAGGGCUCUGGUCGCUUUAUAGGGAAUAGGGUUCCAUAGGGCUCUGGUCUAAAGUAGUGCACUAUAUAGGGAAUAGGGUGCCAUUUGGACGCAUCCAGUGAGUAAAUCAAUCUGACCCAGAGUAAAGCAGCCCGGUACGUAAUAACGUUACUCAUGAUACGCCACUGAGAUCAGCUGUGAACAUGGCUCCCCUUAUUAUUUGCUGAGGCACAGCCUGCGUCCCCAAUGGUACCCUAUUCCCUAUUUAGUACAUAAUAGAGUGAAGGGGGUUCCAUUUGGGACUAAGACACAGUGUUCUAGAACCAAAUGGAAUUACCAUGAAACAUUAAACCAUUAGUUGAAAACAGGGUUUUGUUUCAGUCAUUAGGAAAGGUUAGAGUGUAGAUAAGAAAACCAGUUCAGUAAAAUGUGUAAGGAUGCUAUAAAUUGGCAAAAAAAACAUAGUUAUUAAGACAUAAUAUACAGUGCAUUCAGAAAGUAUUCACACCCCUUGACUUUUUCCACAUUUUGUUACGUUAAAACAUUAUUCUAAAAUGGAUUAAAUCGUUUUUCCCCCGUCAUCAAUCUGCACACAAUACCACAUAAUGACAAAGCAAAAAAAUGGGUUUUAGAUUUUUUUUUGCAAAAGUAUAAAAGAAACAAAAACAGAAAUAUCUUAUUUACAUAAGUAUUCAGACCCUUUGCUAUGAGACUCUAAAGUUCAGGUACAUCCUGUUUCCAUUGAUCAUCCUUCUCUGGUCUGAUGAAACCAAGAUCUUUGGCCUGAAUGCCAAGCGUCUGGAGGAAACCUGGCACCAUCCCUACUGGGGAAGCAUGGUGGUGGUAGCAACAUGCUGUGAGGAUGUCUUUCAGCGGCAGGGACUGGGAGACUAGGCAGGAUCGAGGGAAAGAUGAAUGGAGCAAAGUACAGAGAGAUCCUUGAUGAAAACCUGCCCCAGAGCGCUCAGGACCUCAGACUGGGGCGAAGGUUCACCUUCCAAAACGACAACGACCCUAAGCACACAGCCAAGACAACGCAAAAAGUAUAUAUAUUUUUUGAAUAAGGUUGUAACUUAACAAAAUCUGGAAAAAGUCAAGGGGUCUGAAUACUUUCCCGAAUGCACUGUAAGAGUAAAUCAUCAUGAUAGACAAGCGUAUCACAUCAUAUACGGCAUAGGAGCUUGGGUGGAUACAGUUCCACAUUCAUGCCUCUCUCAUAAGUUUGAGAGCAGAACAAAUAGUUUUUCGAUCCCCUAUUGGAAGGAAAGAGCCAGAGAGAGAGGAGAGAGGAGAGAGUAGAGAGAGAGAUGGGAUAGGAGGUGUAGUAGUUAAGAUACCCUGGGUCAGUCAGGGGAAACGUUCAAAGCAACAUACUAGUUUGCAUGCUUAGUUUCCUCUCCUCUCACGAGCAGCUGCUUUGUAUGAGGAAGUUGAAGUCAGAGUGUGGCGGUGUGGUAG